GACGAACGCUGGCGGCGUGCUUAACACAUGCAAGUCGAACGGAAAGGCCUUUUCGGAGGUACUCGAGUGGCGCACGGGUGCGUAACACGUGGGUGAUCUGCCCUGCACUCUGGGAUAAGCCUGGGAAACUGGGUCUAAUACCGGAUAGGACCGCACUUUAGUGUGUGUGGUGGAAAGUUUUUUCGGUGUAGGAUGAGCCCGCGGCCUAUCAGCUUGUUGGUGGGGUAAUGGCCUACCAAGGCGGCGACGGGUAGCCGGACUGAGAGGUUGGUCGGCCACAUGGGGACUGAGAUACGGCCCAGACUCCUACGGGAGGCAGCAGUGGGGAAUAUUGCACAAUGGGCGCAAGCCUGAUGCAGCGACGCCGCGUGGGGGAUGACGGCCUUCGGGUGGUAAACUCCUUUCGCCAGGGACGAAGCGUUUUGUGACGGUACCUGGAGAAGAAGCACCGGCUAACUACG
rnacentral:rRNA from 1 species